AUACGGAGGGUGCAAACGUUGUUCGGAAUCACUGGGCGUAAAGGGCGCGCAGGCGGUUUGGUAAGUCAGAUGUGAAAGCCCACGGCUCAACCGUGGAAGUGCAUUUGAAACUGUCAGACUUGAGUACUAGAGGGGAAAGUGGAAUUCCCGGUGUAGAGGUGAAAUUCGUAGAUAUCGGGAGGAAUACCGGUGGCGAAGGCGACUUUCUGGCUAGAUACUGACGCUGAGGCGCGAAAGCGUGGGGAGCAAACAGGAUUAGAAACCCCAGUAGUCC
rnacentral:rRNA from 1 species